rnacentral:tRNA from 1 species
GCCGGCGUGGUGAAAUUGGCAGACACGCUAGGUUUAGGACCUAGUGCCGCAAGGCAUAGAGGUUCGAGUCCUCUCGCCGGCACCA